rnacentral:rRNA from 1 species
AGCGAACGCUGGCGGCAGGCUUAACACAUGCAAGUCGAACGGGCAUAGCAAUAUGUCAGUGGCAGACGGGUGAGUAACGCGUGGGAACAUACCUCUUGGUUCGGAACAACACAGGGAAACUUGUGCUAAUACCGGAUAAGCCCUUACGGGGAAAGAUUUAUCGCCGAGAGAUUGGCCCGCGUCUGAUUAGCUAGUUGGUGUGGUAAAAGCGCACCAAGGCGACGAUCAGAGCUGGUCUGAGAGGAUGAUCAGCCACAUUGGGACUGAGACACGGCCCAAACUCCUACGGGAGGCAGCAGUGGGGAAUAUUGGACAAUGGGCGCAAGCCUGAUCCAGCCAUGCCGCGUGAGUGAUGAAGGCCUUAGGGUGUAAAGCUCUUUUGUACGGGAAGAUAAUGACGGUACCGUAAGAAUAAGCCCCGGCUAAC